rnacentral:rRNA from 1 species
UACGAAGGGGGCUAGCGUUGCCCGGAAUCACUGGGCGUAAAGGGUGCGUAGGCGGGUCUUUAAGUCAGGGGGGAAAUCCUGGAGCUCAACUCCAGAACUGCCUUUGAUACUGAAGAUCUUGAGUUCGGGAGAGGUGAGUGGAACUGCGAGUGUAGAGGUGAAAUUCGUAGAUAUUCGCAAGAACACCAGUGGCGAAGGCGGCUCACUGGCCCGAUACUGACGCUGAUGCACGAAAGCGUGGGGAGCAAACAGG